rnacentral:rRNA from 1 species
CCUACGGGUGGCUGCAGUGGGGAAUAUUGGGCAAUGGGCGCAAGCCUGACCCAGCAACGCCGCGUGAAGGAAGAAGGCUUUCGGGUUGUAAACUUCUUUUAAGAGGGAAGAGCAGAAGACGGUACCUCUUGAAUAAGCCACGGCUAACUACGUGCCAUCAGCCGCGGUAAUACGUAGGUGGCAAGCGGUGUCCGGAUUUACUGGGUGUAAAGGGCGUGUAGCCGGGCUGACAAGUCAGAUGUGAAAACCGGGGGCUCAACCCCCGAACUGCAGUUGAAACUGUUGGUCUUGAGUAUCGGAGAGGCAGGCGGAAUUCCUAGUGUAGCGGUGAAAUGCGUAGAUAUUAGGAGGAACACCAGUGGCGAAGGCGGCCUGCUGGACGACAACUGACGGUGAGGCGCGAAAGCGUGGGGAGCGAACAGGAUUAGAUACCCUAGUAGUC